rnacentral:pre_miRNA from 1 species
CUUAUUGGCCAGUAAAGGAGAGACAUUAUUUCAUUGGUUAGUUUGUAUUGCCUUGCCAACCAACCAGAGGAUGCCAUUUAUCCUUUUCUGACUAGCUGAGUGAACAGAGUA